GACGAACGCUGGCGGCGUGCUUAACACAUGCAAGUCGAGCGGUAAGGCCCUUUCGGGGGUACGACGAGCGGCGAACGGGUGAGUAACACGUGGGUGACCUGCCCUCAGCUCUGGGAUAAGCCUGGGAAACUGGGUCUAAUACUGGAUAUGACUCCACGGUGCAUGUCGUGGGGUGGAAAGCCUUGUGCGGCUGAGGAUGGGCCCGCGGCCUAUCAGCUUGUUGGUGGGGUGAGGCCUACCAAGGCGACGACGGGUAGCCGGCCUGAGAGGGCGACCGGCCACACUGGGACUGAGACACGGCCCAGACUCCUACGGGAGGCAGCAGUGGGGAAUCUUGCGCAAUGGGCGAAGGCCUGACGCAGCGACGCCGCGUGAGGGAUGACGGCCU
rnacentral:rRNA from 1 species